rnacentral:rRNA from 1 species
AUACGGAGGAUCCGAGCGUUAUCCGGAUUUAUUGGGCUUAAAGGGUGCGCAGGCGGCCAUUUAAGUCAGCGGUUAAAUCGUGGGGCUCAACCCCAUUCUGCCGUUGAUACUGGGUGGCUUGAUUGCGGGCGAGGGUGGCGGAAUUCGUUGGGUAGGGGGGAAAUGCAUAGAUAUGACGAAGAACACCGAUUGCGUAGGCAGCUGACCAGAUCGCAAAUGACGCUCAUGCACGAAAGUGCGGGGAUCGAACAGGAUUAGAUACCCUGGUAGUCCGCACAGUAAACGAUGAAUACUUGUUUUCGGCGAUAUAAUGUCGGAGGCAAAGCGAAAGCGAUAAGUAUUCCACCUGGGGAGUACGCCGGCAACGGUGAAACUCAAAUGAAUUGGCGGGG